GAUCCUGGCUCAGAUUGAACGCUGGCGGCAGGCCUAACACAUGCAAGUCGAACGGUAACAGGAAGAAGCUUGCUUCUUUGCUGACGAGUAGCGGACGGGUGAGUAAUGUCUGGGAAACUGCCUGAUGGAGGGGGGAUAACUACUGGAAACGGUAGCUAAUACCGCAUAACGUCGCAAGACCAAAGGAGGGGGACCUUCGGGCCUCUUGCCAUCGGAUGUGCCCAGAUGGGAUUAGCUAGUAGGUGGGGUAACGG
rnacentral:rRNA from 1 species